rnacentral:rRNA from 1 species
UACGGAGGGUGCGAGCGUUGUCCGGAUUUAUUGGGUUUAAAGGGUGCGUAGGUGGCUUUAUAAGUCAGUGGUGAAAUACAGCCGCUCAACGGUUGAGGUGCCAUUGAUACUGUAGAGCUUGAAACAAUUGGAGGCUGCCGGAAUGGAUGGUGUAGCGGUGAAAUGCAUAGAUAUCAUCCAGAACACCGAUUGCGAAGGCAGGUGGCUACGUUUGAUUUGACACUGAGGCACGAAAGCAUGGGGAGCAAACAGGAUUAGAAACCCGGGUAGUCC